AAGAGACGUUGCCCUUCGGGUAUACCUCCCACCCUUUGUUUAUUAUACCUUUGUUGCUUUGGCGGGCCCGUCCUCGGACCACCGGCUUCUGCUGGUCAGUGCCCGCCAGAGGACCUAAAACUCUGUUUGUUAAUAUUGUCUGAGUACUAUAUAAUAGUUAA
rnacentral:misc_RNA from 1 species